UGAUGUAGACGUAACGACCAAUUCGAUGGCGCAUCAGAUCGAGGAAAUCCUGUCAAUUUGGGAUAGUUCUUUUGUUAACCAGGGCAGGAGGGGAAUUUUCAAUUUCUUUGUAUGUCCUAUGUAAAGUAUGUCCUACUAAAAUUCUGAGUUUAAUAUUCCACCAGGCCUUCUACCACUUUAAAAUAAGGAAUCACCCCUGGAUCAAGAUGAAUGACGUUUGAUGUAAAUGAAGACAAAAUAGAGUACGUGACACGCGGGCGCUGUUACGUGACACGCUAGUUUUGAUUGCGUGACAGUAGGAGAAGCGCGCGAACCCGAUACGAGAGGGAAAAUCUCCAGAGGAGCUGAAGUCGAACACCACAUCAAAGAAGAACUUGGACUCCGCGACUUUCUUUAACUGGGUGCAAUCGUGGAUAAUAAACCGGUCGCACUUGACGUGUGUGACGAAUGGCUUUAUACGAUGCUCAUCUGGCUGCUAGCUAUGAACUGAAAGGAGGAGAUGAUUCGCGCUUUCAUAAAAAUGAGAAUUAUUCGGAAAUUCAAACUGACAGUGAAGACUAACUUGUACGUGCGAUUCUCCACGUUUACAGUAUAUACACCCUUAAACAUCAUGGAGGGCGGAACAGUUUUAUUUUAUUUUUCAGAUAUUCACUGCGCGCGUGAACGCUUCUAAUUCUAAAAAAAGAAUCUCAAGGAAUGGUUACCUGGUCAACCACCGGCAGUGCUUGUAUGUUCGAAACUCUUUAUUCCGGCAAACAUUUGCUCUCAAUUAUUCGGCAUUUUUUUACCAACCUACUUUUAAGAUUUUAGAAUAUUAAAAAAGAAAGUAAGAAGACGGAAUAAAGAGCACGUGCUAGCUUAAAGUCCAACCCAUUAGUUAGAUAUAUCUCUUGCGUGUACUCUUGUAAAAUAACAUUCCUUCGAAAAGUGUUUAUUGCUCAGAUCUAAUCAUUGUUAAAACACAAUUUAAGGCUCGCAUUUCCAAUAGUAAUGUCUCGAAACACGCCUACUUUCUAAAAGAAUAUUCACACAAGUUCUAGUAUCACCUAACAUGCCAGACGUGUAAAAAUUGUCAAUUUAAAAAUAUCGCUGUUUAAAUCUUUCCGCCAUAAUAACUGAAAGCAUAUCAGAAAUAGGGCGUUGUUGGCGACUUGUGCUAAGACAGCCUUAAUCUCCACUCAGCCCUACUGGUGACGAAAACAAUAAUCGGGAGAUGUUUCGGAGUGAGACAGUAUCCCCCCCCUACCUCACUCUC